rnacentral:rRNA from 1 species
CCGGCACGGGUGAGUAACACGUAUGCAAUCCACCUGUAACAGGGGGAUAACCCGGAGAAUCCGGACUAAUACCCCAUAAUAUGGGCGCUCCGCAUGGAGAGCCCAUUAAAGAGAGCAAUUUUGGUUACAGACGAGCAUGCGCUCCAUUAGCCAGUUGGCGGGGUAACGGCCCACCAAAGCGACGAUGGAUAGGGGUUCUGAGAGGAAGGUCCCCCACAUUGGAACUGAGACACGGUCCAA